AGCGAACGCUGGCGGCAGGCCUAACACAUGCAAGUCGAACGGAUCCUUCGGGAUUAGUGGCGGACGGGUGAGUAACACGUGGGAACGUGCCCUUUGGUUCGGAACAACUCAGGGAAACUUGAGCUAAUACCGGAUGUGCCCUUCGGGGGAAAGAUUUAUCUGCAUUGGAGCGGCCCGCGUCUGGUUAGCUAGUUGGUGAGGUAAAGGCUCACCAAGGCGACGAUCAGUAGCUGGUCUGAGAGGAUGAUCAGCCACAUUGGGACUGAGACACGGCCCAAACUCCUACGGGAGGCAGCAGUGGGGAAUCUUGCGCAAUGGGCGAAAGCCUGACGCAGCCAUGCCGCGUGAAUGAUGAAGGUCUUAGGAUUGUAAAAUUCUUUCACCGGGGACGAUAAUGACGGUACCCGGAGUAGAAGCCCCGGCUAACUUCGUGCCAGCCGCCGCGGUAACAC
rnacentral:rRNA from 1 species